UUCGCCCUUAGAGUUUGAUUCUGGCUCAGGAUGAACGCUGGCGGCGUGCUUAACACAUGCAAGUCGAACGGAGAUAGUAAGAGGAAGUUUUCGGAUGGAAUCAUAUUAUCUUAGUGGCGGACGGGUGAGUAACGCGUGGGUAACCUGCCGUAUACAGGGGGAUAACACUUAGAAAUAGGUGCUAAUACCGCAUAAGCGCACAGCUUCGCAUGAAGCAGUGUGAAAAGCCCAGAUGGUAUACGAUGGACCCGCGUCUGAUUAGCUAGUUGGUGGGGUAGAGGCCUACCAAGGCGACGAUCAGUAGCCGGCCUGAGAGGGUGACCGGCCACAUUGGGACUGAGACACGGCCCAAACUCCUACGGGAGGCAGCAGUGGGGAAUAUUGCACAAUGGGGGAAACCCUGAUGCAGCGACGCCGCGUGAGUGAAGAAGUAUUUCGGUAUGUAAAGCUCUAUCAGCAGGGAAGAAAAUGACGGUACCUGACUAAGAAGCCCCGGCUAACUACGUGCCAGCAGCCGCGGUAAUACGUAGGGGGCAAGCGUUAUCCGGAUUUACUGGGUGUAAAGGGAGCGUAGACGGUGAUGCAAGUCUGAUGUGAAAGCCCGGGGCUCAACCCCGGGACUGCAUUGGAAACUGUAUAACUAGAGUGCAGGAGAGGUAAGCGGAAUUCCUAGUGUAGCGGUGAAAUGCGUAGAUAUUAGGAGGAACACCAGUGGCGAAGGCGGCUUACUGGACUGUAACUGACGUUGAGGCUCGAAAGCGUGGGGAGCAAACAGGAUUAGAUACCCUGGUAGUCCACGCCGUAAACGAUGAUUAAUAGGUGUGGGAGGACUGACCCCUUCCGUGCGCAGGUUGGCACAAUUAGUAUUCCACCUUGGGAGUACGUCCGCAAGGUUGAAGCUUAGAGGAAUUGACGGGGGCCCGCACAAGCAGUGGAUUAUGUGGUUUAAUUUGACGCAACGCGAAGAACCUUACCAGGUUUUGACAUCCGACUAACGAAGUAGAGAUACAUUAGGUGCCCUUCGGGGAAAGUUGAGACAGGUGGUGCAUGGUUGUCGUCAGCUCGUGUCGUGAGAUGUUGGGUUAAGUCCCGCAACGAGCGCAACCCCUAUUGUUAGUUGCUACGCAAGAGCACUCUAGCGAGGCUGCCGUUGACAAAACGGAGGAAGGCGGGGACGACGUCAAAUCAUCAUGCCCUUUAUGUCCUGGGCUACACACGUAAUACAAUGGCCGUCAACAGAGGGAAGCAAUACCGCGAGGUGGAGCAAAUCCCUAAAAACGGUCUCAGUUCGGAUUGCAGGCUGCAACUCGCCUGCAUGAAGCUGGAAUUGCUAGUAAUCGCGGAUCAGCAUGCCGCGGUGAAUAAAAACCCGGGCCUUGCACUCACCGCCCGUCA
rnacentral:rRNA from 1 species